rnacentral:rRNA from 1 species
CCCUAUGGGGUGCACCAGGCGAGAAAACUUUGCAAUGUGCGAAAGCACGACAAGGUUAAUCCGAGUGGUUUCUGCUAAAGGAACCUUUUGUUAGUCAUAGAACCACUAAUGAAUAAGGGGUGGGCAAGUUCUGGUGUCAGCCGCCGCGGUAAAACCAGCACCUCAAGUGGUCAGGAUGAUUAUUGGGCCUAAAGCAUCCGUAGCCGGCUCUGUUAGUUUUCGGUUAAAUCUGUAUGCUCAACAUACAGGCUGCCGGGAAUACUGCAGAGCUAGGGAGCGGGAGAGGUAGACGGUACUCGGUAGGAAGGGGUAAAAUCCUUUGAUCUAUUGAUGACCACCUGUGGCGAAGGCGGUCUACCAGAACACGUCCGACGGUGAGGGAUGAAAGCUGGGGGAGCAAACCGGAUUAGAUACCCGGGUAGUCCCAGCUGUAAACUAUGCAAACUCAGUGAUGCAUUGGCUUGUGGCCAAUGCAGUGCUGCAGGGAAGCCGUUAAGUUUGCCGCCUGGGAAGUACGUACGCAAGUAUGAAACUUAAAGGAAUUGGCGGGGGAGCACCACAAGGGGUGAAGCCUGCGGUUCAACUGGAGUCAACGCCAGAAAUCUUACCCGGAGAGACAGCAGAAUGAAAGUCAAGCUGAGACUUACCAGACAGCUGAGAGAGUGCAUGGCAGGCGAUUCAGCACACUGCGCGUUACUAG